GCGGUAAAACGCACUGGAGGACCGAACCAGGGCACGUUGAAAAGUGCUUGGAUGACUUGUGGGUAGCGGAGAAAUUCCAAACGAACUUGGAGAUAGCUGGUUCUCUCCGAAAUAGCUUUAGGGCUAGCGUCGACAUAAAGAUUCUUGGAGGUAGAGCACUGUUUGGGUGAGGGGUCCAUCCCGGAUUACCAAUCUCAGAUAAACUCCGAAUGCCAAUGAAUUAUGGUCGGCAGUCAGACUGCGAGUGCUAAGAUCCGUAGUCGAAAGGGAAACAGCCCAGACCACCAGCUAAGGUCCCAAAAUAAUUGUUAAGUGGAAAAGGAUGUGGGGUUGCACAGACAACUAGGAUGUUAGCUUAGAAGCAGCUAUUCAUUCAAAGAGUGCGUAAUAGCUCACUAGUCGAGUGACCCUGCGCCGAAAAUGUACCGGGGCUAAAACAAUUUACCGAAGCUGUGGAUACCUUUAUAGGUAUGGUAGGAGAGCGUUCUAUGUGUGGCGAAGGUGUACCGUGAGGAGCGCUGGAACGCAUAGAAGUGAGAAUGCCGGUAUGAGUAGCGCAAGAUGGGUGAGAAUCCCAUCCACCGUAAGACUAAGGUUUCCAGGGGAAGGCUCGUCCGCCCUGGGUUAGUCGGGACCUAAGGAGAGACCGAAAGGUGUAUCCGAUGGACAACAGGUUGAUAUUCCUGUACUAGAGUAUGUAGUGAUGGAGGGACGCAGUAGGCUAACUAAAGCAGACGAUUGGAAGUGUCUGUCUAAGCAGUGAGGUGUGAUAUGAGUCAAAUGCUUAUAUCUGUAACAUUGAGCUGUGAUGGGGAGCGAAGUUUAGUAGCGAAGUUAGUGACGUCACACUGCCAAGAAAAGCUUCUAGCGUUUAAACAUACUCUACCCGUACCGCAAACCGACACAGGUAGUCGAGGCGAGUAGCCUCAGGUGAGCGAGAGAACUCUCGUUAAGGAACUCGGCAAAAUGACCCCGUAACUUCGGGAGAAGGGGUGCUGACUUUACGUCAGCCGCAGUGAAUAGGCCCAAGCAACUGUUUAUCAAAAACACAGCUCUCUGCUAAAUCGUAAGAUGAUGUAUAGGGGGUGACGCCUGCCCGGUGCUGGAAGGUUAAGAGGAGUGCUUAGGAGUAAUCCGAAGGUAUGAAUUGAAGCCCCAGUAAACGGCGGCCGUAACUAUAACGGUCCUAAGGUAGCGAAAUUCCUUGUCGGGUAAGUUCCGACCCGCACGAAAGGCGUAAUGAUUUGGGCACUGUCUCAACGAGAGACUCGGUGAAAUUUUAGUACCUGUGAAGAUGCAGGUUACCCGCGACAGGACGGAAAGACCCCAUGGAGC
rnacentral:rRNA from 1 species